GCUGGGUGUGGUGGUGGGCUCCUGUAGUCCCAGCUACUCCGGAGGCUGAGGCAGGAGCAUCGCUGGAGCCCAGGAGUUGUGAGCUGUAGUGCUCUAUGCCAACUGGGUGUCUGCACUAAGUUCGGCAUCAAUAUGGUGACCUCCCGGGAGCGGGAGACCAAGCUGCCUAAGGAGGGGUGAACUGGCCUAGGUUGGAAAAAGAGUAGGUCAAAACUCCUGUGCUUAUCAGGAAUUGGGGCUUUUGUGGGGUAAUUAGGUUUAGAUGAGGUCAUGAGGAUUGAGCCCCCAUGAUGGAAUUAUUGUC
rnacentral:SRP_RNA from 1 species